GCAGACACCCUUAUGAAGCAGGACUUGCUUCAGUGGGGCUUUGGUGCUCACUGAGUCUUCCCCUUAAGUGUUUUGCU
rnacentral:pre_miRNA from 1 species